rnacentral:rRNA from 1 species
AUUGAACGCUGGCGGCAUGCCUUACACAUGCAAGUCGAACGGUAACAGCGGGGGCAACCCUGGCGACGAGUGGCGAACGGGUGAGUAAUACAUCGGAACGUACCCAGUAGUGGGGGAUAGCUCGGCGAAAGCCGGAUUAAUACCGCAUACGACCUACGGGUGAAAGGGGGGGAUCGCAAGACCUCUCGCUAUUGGAGCGGCCGAUAUCAGAUUAGCUAGUUGGUGGGGUAAAAGCUCACCAAGGCGACGAUCUGUAGCUGGUCUGAGAGGACGACCAGCCACACUGGGACUGAGACACGGCCCAGACUCCUACGGGAGGCAGCAGUGGGGAAUUUUGGACAAUGGACGCAAGUCUGAUCCAGCCAUGCCGCGUGCGGGAAGAAGGCCUUCGGGUUGUAAACCGCUUUUGUCAGGGAAGAAAAGUUUGGGGCUAAUAACCUCGGAUGAUGACGGUACCUGAAGAAUAAGCACCGGCUAACUACGUGCCAGCAGCCGCGGUAAUACGUAGGGUGCAAGCGUUAAUCGGAAUUACUGGGCGUAAAGCGUGCGCAGGCGGUUCUAUAAGACAGAUGUGAAAUCCCCGGGCUCAACCUGGGAACUGCAUUUGUGACUGUAGAGCUGGAGUGCGGCAGAGGGGGAUGGAAUUCCGCGUGUAGCAGUGAAAUGCGUAGAUAUGCGGAGGAACACCGAUGGCGAAGGCAAUCCCCUGGGCCUGCACUGA